rnacentral:rRNA from 1 species
UACGUAGGGUGCAAGCGUUGCCCGGAUUUAUUGGGCGUAAAGGGCGCGUAGGCGGCUCUGCACGUUCGUUGUGAAAUCGCCCGGCUCAACUGGGCGGGGUCAGCGGAUACGGCAGAGCUUGAGCAAGCUAGGGGGCAAUGGAAUUCCCGGUGUAGUGGUGGAAUGCGUAGAUAUCGGGGGGAACACCAGUGGCGAAGGCGGUUGCCUGGGGCUUUGCUGACGCUGAUGCGCGAAAGCGUGGGGAGCGAUCCGG